rnacentral:tRNA from 1 species
GCUCCCAUGGCGUAGUGGUCACUGCACUCGCCUUGCACGCCGCAGACCCGGGUUCGAUUCCCGGCGGGGUCA